AGAGUUUGAUCAUGGCUCAGAGCGAACGCUGGCGGCGUGCUUAACACAUGCAAGUCGAACGCGCAGUUCCUUGUAGCAAUACAGGGGAUGGGCGCGUGGCGAACGGGUGCGUAACACGUGGAUAACCUUCCUUCAGGUGGGGAAUAACCCCGCGAAAGCGGGGCUAAUACCGCAUAACAUGACGAUGGCUCAUGCUGUUGUCUUCAAAGCCGCAAGGCGCCAGAAGAGGGAUCCGCGGCCGAUUAGCUUGUUGGCGAGGUAAUGGCUCACCAAGGCAAUGAUCGGUAGCCGGUCUGAGAGGACGAUCGGCCACACUGGAACUGAGACACGGUCCAGACUCCUACGGGAGGCAGCAGUGGGGAAUCUUGCGCAAUGGACGAAAGUCUGACGCAGCAACGCCGCGUGGGGGAUGAAGCUUCUCGGAGUGUAAACCCCUUUCGACCCGGACGAAUGCCCGCAAGGGUUUGACGGUACGGGUAUAAGAAGCCCCGGCUAACUACGUGCCAGCAGCCGCGGUAAUAC
rnacentral:rRNA from 1 species